GCAUCUGCUCAUCAACUUCCUUCAUGGACAUGCGGCCACGGAACAUAGCUGCAACGGUCAAGUAGCGGCCAUGACGAGGGUCGCAAGCAGCCAUCAUGUUCUUGGCAUCGAACAUCUGCUGGGUCAGCUCGGGAACGGUUAGGGCACGGUACUGCUGGCUGCCUCUGCUGGUCAGGGGAGCAAAGCCAGGCAU